rnacentral:rRNA from 1 species
CACGCUGUAAACGAUGUCGAUUUGGAGUUUGUUGCCUAGAGUGAUGGGCUCCGAAGCUAACGCGAUAAAUCGACCGCUGGGGAGUACGGCGCAAGGUUAAAACUCAAAUGAAUGACGGGGGCCCGCACAAGCGGUGGAGCAUGUGGUUUAAUUCGAUGCAACGCGAAGAACUUACCUGGUCUUGACAUCCAUAGAAUUCUGCAGAGAUGUGGGAGCGCCUUCGGGAACUAUGAGACAGGUGCUGCAUGGCUGUCGUCAGCUCGUGUUGUGAAAUGUUGGGUUAAGUCCCGCAACGGGCGCAACCCUUAUUCUUUGUUGCCAGCGAUUUGGUCGGGAACUCAAAGGAGACUGCCGUUGAUAAAGCGGAGGAAGGUGGGGACGACGUCAAGUCAUCAUGGCCCUUACGACCAGGGCUACACACGUGCUACAAUGGCGUAUACAAAGGGAAGCGAAGGUGCGAGCUGGAGCGGAUCUCAUAAAGUACGUCUAAGUUCGGAUUGGAGUCUGCAACUCGACUCCAUGAAGUCGGAAUCGCUAGUAAUCGUAGAUCAGAAUGCUACGGUGAAUACGUUCCCGGGCCUUGUACACACCGCCCGUCACACCAUGGGAGUGGGUUGCACCAGAAGUAGAUAGCUUAACCGCGAGGGGGGCGUUUACCACGGUGUGAUUCAUGACUGGGGUGAAGUCGUAACAAGGUAACCA